AUUGAACGCUGGCGGCGUGCUUAACACAUGCAAGUCGAGCGGUAACAGGCGUAGCAAUACGUGCUGACGAGCGGCGAACGGGUGCGUAAUACAUCGGAAUCUGCCUCGUAGUGGGGAAUAACCCGGCGAAAGCCGGGCUAAUGCCGCAUACGAUCCACGGAUGAAAGCGGGGGACCGUAAGGCCUCGCGCUAUGAGAUGAGCCGAUGUCGGAUUAGCUAGNGGUGAGGUAAUGGCUCACCAAGGCGACGAUCCGUAGCUGGUCUGAGAGGACGGCCAGCCACACUGGGACUGAGACACGGCCCAGACUCCUACGGGAGGCAGCAGUGGGGAAUAUUGGACAAUGGGGGAAACCCUGAUCCAGCGACGCCGCGUGUGUGAAGAAGGCCUGCGGGUUGUAAAGCAC
rnacentral:rRNA from 1 species